rnacentral:rRNA from 1 species
UACGUAGGUGGCAAGCGUUGUUCGGAAUUAUUGGGCGUAAAGGGCGCGUAGGCGGUUUGUUAAGUCGGCUGUGAAAGCCCGGGGCUCAACCCCGGAGGGUCAGCCGAUACUGGCAGACUAGAGUACGGAAGAGGUAGCUGGAAUUCCCGGUGUAGCGGUGAAAUGCGUAGAUAUCAGGAGGAACACCGGUGGUGUAGACGGCUUUCUGGACCGUAACUGACGCUGAGACACGAAAGCGUGGGUAGCAAACAGG